rnacentral:rRNA from 1 species
UAGGGAAUCUUUCACAAUGGGCGAAAGCCUGAUGGAGCAACGCCGCGUGUGUGAUGAAGGGUUUCGGCUCGUAAAACACUGUUGUAAGAGAAGAAUGACAUUGAGAGUAACUGUUCAAUGUGUGACGGUAUCUUACCAGAAAGGAACGGCUAAAUACGUGCCAG